UACGUAGGGUGCAAGCGUUGUCCGGAAUUAUUGGGCGUAAAGGGCGCGUAGGCGGCAUGGCAAGUGGAUGGUGAAAUCCCUCGGCUUAACCGAGGAACUGCCGUCCAAACUGCUUCGCUUGAGACCGGGAGAGGUGAGUGGAAUUCCCAGUGUAGCGGUGAAAUGCGUAGAUAUUGGGAGGAACACCAGUGGCGAAGGCGGCUCACUGGACCGGUACUGACGCUGAUGCGCGAAAGCGUGGGGAGCAAACGGG
rnacentral:rRNA from 1 species